rnacentral:rRNA from 1 species
GACGUAGGGCGCGAGCGUUGUCCGGAUUUAUUGGGCGUAAAGAGCUCGUAGGCGGCUUGUCGCGUCGAAUGUGAAAACCCACAGCUCAACUGUGGGCUUGCAUUCGAUACGGGCAGGCUCGAGUUCGGUAGGGGAGACUGGAAUUCCAGGUGUAGCGGUGAAAUGCGUAGAGAUCUGGAGGAACACCGAUGGCGAAGGCAGCCUUCUGGGCCAACACUGACGCUCAUGCACGAAAGCGUGGGGAGCAAACAGG